AAACAUCAUAAAAUAAAAAAAACAUUCAAACACAACAAAAUCAUUCUGCAACAAACAAACAAACACAAACACAAUGUCUCUCUCUUCAACAUCUUCCACCUCUCUCAUUCCCACCAAAUCAUUACUCCAACCCACCAAACCAAACCCACCUUCAUUCCCCAUCGGGCUCAAACCCAUGCCCAAACCCAAACCCGGUUCAAUCCUCGCCGUUCACGCCGCUGAACCAGCAAAAAACCCGGUCCUCAC
rnacentral:lncRNA from 1 species